rnacentral:sRNA from 1 species
AUCAGGCAUGGAGGCGCAUGCCUGUAAUUCCAGCAGCUUGGGAGGCUGAGGCAGGAGGAUUGUGAAUUCAAAGCCAGCUUCAGCAAUUUAGGAAGACACUUAGCAACUCAGUGAGACCCUGUCUCUA